rnacentral:lncRNA from 1 species
UUGAUUAUGGUGAAGUGCAAGACAUCACCAGAGACUUGUAGGAAGAAAGCAUUACAUUGGAUGUUAGGUGGCUUGCGUGGCUCUAAAUUGAAUUUGCUGAUCUUAAUAUACAAGUUGACCAAGGAAGAUCAAGUUAGCAUUCUAGGAAAAGCAUUUAAUGGAGGGUAAUGAGAUAGACAAGUUAGAUUUCAGAUCUCGACGUAUUCUUGUGGCACACUGGUUAUGAAUAUUCAAAUGUGGAACAUCAUUUUCGUGUUGGGCACACAAGAAGCAAUUAACACGUGGGAAUCACAAUGCAAAUGAUUCGACAUAAAUAUGCAUUUCAAUGCCAUUUAUGUGCAUAAAAUAAGAAACAAUCACAAGUGAAUUGACAUUGGAUUGUUACAACAGGAGAUUUGGCCUUGUUUCUUAUUGCUUUUUCAGGAAAAAGAGGAGAGAACUUUGUCGGCACAAAUAUUUUAGUUUGGUAGAUCUAUCAGAGAAUCCAUGUAAAGAUUGUACUGAGAGAAAAAAAGAACCUAAAAAUGAUAAUUAUUUUAAGUAAUCUACAUAGUAUUUUUCUCAAACUCACUAACAAGUACAUGGCAAAAGAGAGAGAACCCAAAACAGAACGUAGCAGCUAGUUUAUGCCCAACAAAUUCAUAGAUAUGUCUUCUGAUGGUAGUUACCACAAAGCUAUUGAUGAACAAUGGAAAAUUUAUAGACGAAGGCACAAUAGAGUGGCAUAUGUCAAUAGAAAAUAUCGUCCUUCACGUAUGCAGACCUGUUCUCUUGCCAUCUUUCAACUAAGUUAGCAUAUUCAUAGCUUUUUCCUUUACAUUUCAGUGAUUAGCUGAUGCAUCUCUACUGUCAUAUUUUAAAUUAAUAUUAUUAUGUAUAAUGUUUAUAGUUAUGUUGUAUGUGCAGGAAGACUUUCACCAAAUUAUCAUGCAGUAAACCCUGAAUACAACAAGCUAGGUAAGAAACACCACCUUAACAUCAGCUAUUAUUUAAUGCUCAGGUAAAAAAAGAUAUUAUUAAUAACAUGAUUAAAUUGCACAUAUCAGUUGCAUUUAUAUUGGUUUCAAUCAUCAAUUCUGUAUGUUCAUACCCUUUUUCUUUCUUCUGAGUAAGGCUUUGCAUGUUCAAAGAUCCACUUGUAAGUAGCAUCCCUUUUGCAUUCUUAUCAAUAAUAUAAACUUGUGAUUAACUUCCUAUUAGUUCAAAAGUUGGGUGGUUCUUUUUCAAUAAUCAUAGCAUUUGUCUUCUUUUAUUUUAGCAUAUUCAAUAUAUGAUCCCUCAAAUGUUACGGAUUCACACUCUUCUAUCUCGUAGUACUUGGCGUAUUUUAUUCAACAUAGAUUCCUCGAUGUGGUGCUUUGAUGACAUUUAGAGUUCAUGGACAAUCUUGGAAUGUUCUUUUGAGAGAAGAGAGUCUUUGACUUAAACUUUGUCUCGAGAUAUUGAAAUGCAUGCAAGCACAAAAUUAAAUAUCUAUGAAGAAACAGAGCUUAUCUAUCAUACUAAUAUAUCUACAGAGAAACAAAGCUUAUCAACUCAUACAAAGGGGAAUAAGGAUAUUCAUAUGUGACUAAACAAAUACAAUUCAACUGAAAUCUUCUGGAGUAUACUCAAAUAUUCAACAGAUCUGCUUCAUGCAAGAUCAAAGUUAAUUGUGGGACUAUGUCUUAGUGUUGCUUAUUGGGUACAAUUCAUUUUGUCGGUGAUUCCUGAUAACACUGAUCUAUGGACAUUGAUGCGCUUAGGUGACAGGCAAAACUAAAAAAAAUCUGGUCUCUUGCUGCAUUUAUAUAAUCCAAUUCCUAAAUAAGCUUAGUAUUUGACAAAAGAAGGUGCUUCAGCAUGAAUAUUUUCUUCCCCUAGUAAAGAAGAUUGGCUCCUUAUUGUUUUCAUUCCAACCUAUCAAGAUGGUACUAGAGCAUGUGUUUCUCUUUGGCCCUCUUUUGAUAAUGCGCUACUGCCCAUCAUCUCAACAAGAAUUCUUCCAGCAUAAACUGUUGGUUAGAAAAUGUAGUUAAUUUUCGAAGAAUUGAUAGAAGUGAAAUCCUCAGCUUUACCUUCAAAAAAAUAAGUAAUGAAAUAAAGGUUAUUUCCUACAAGCUCAUGUACUCAAGUUGUUAAAGCUCAUUUCUCCACUACCGAAAUCAGUAGUGUUGAUCUAGCGUCACAGCCUGAUGUUACUUUGGGACUGGGAUGGUCUUGUGUUACAGUGCAACUGUGAUAGCUGAAGGCAUUAUUGAUGAAGUCCUUGGUGAAUACAGGCUAGUUCAAGGUUUUUUCCACACCUUCCCCCUGGACAACAGCCUAAACCAACCCCAGGAACACAAUUAAUUCUAGACUAAUUGAUGGCUGGGUAGUGAGUGGUAGAGGUUGGCACUGUGUUGAGGCAUUGAUGGAGUCAGUGGAUAGUUGAUUCCCCCACCUGCACAGGGAACGAUGGUGCCCUUUUAUCAAUUCCCUCUUCCCUCAGAUGAAGGUUGCUCUUGUUUGGUGCUAUAUCUUGCUUCGAGUUCUGCACAUAGCUCAUCUUCAUGUUCCCUUGGAGGUACGUUUUCCUUGCAUUAAUUAAGAUACUGAAUGUAUUUGUUUGUCAUGCAUUGGCUUUGGUGAAGGUUAAUCAGGGAUUCAGGAUCGUCAUGAUAUCGUAGAUUUCACGGCAUUAUAGUUUCAUGUUUUGAGGAAGUAGAUGUCACGCAUGUUAAUGAUAGCAGUAAUCUGAUCUUAUUUGAGCAAGCUGAACUUGUUGAGUCCUUGGACCAAUUCUCUUGGUGACGCAGUAGGUGUAUGUCUAUGAACAGCCGCUCCUUCAGUUGUACAUUUUAAAUUUUUCAUGUUGAUGAUGUGCAUUGGUGACUCUUUUAACAACAGUAUCGAUUUUGAAGGUUCAUUCCAGGUUCUAAAUUUCUUGAUUAUGGUGUCAAUACUCUCUGACAUUCUUUUGUGAUAGAAUAAAAAAAAAUGCCAAAGAGAAGAUUGUACAAAUAUUGACUUGGUUUUCUACUGUGCACCACUUCAGAGGGAUUCUUUUGAGCAGAUUAGCAUUUGGAUUUGCGCAUGAAUUCACCUUCAUUUCUUGUUUUCUUUUUUUCCAAGAGGAAAAGUUGGAACUAGAGGUCUAAUCUGCUUCCAUUAAGAAAAUUAAUUGUCUUAGAACUCCCCCAAGGGUAGAGUACAAAGUGAGAGAAAGAUAGAAAGAAAGGGAGAAGGAAGAGGAGAGGAAGGCCUAAAAAACAAAACAAAAACAAGAGAGGGGGAGGGUUAAUCAGCAUGCUAGUUCCCCUCUCUUACAGCAACUGGAUAUACUAGGCUUAAAGAGGAGUGUGAAUGCUUCUUGCCAUCAUACACUCGGAUAAAGGCUUAAAGCAUUAAUUUGGAGUCUUUUUUUUCUCUAGAAAGAAAAGUCUAAUGUUACAUUCAAGCUAGAUGCACCAGCACGUAACAAUGCUAAUAAAGUCCCAAAAUUUCCUCCACAAUUUUUCUAUCACAUUGCUUCUACUAGGAGGUUCACGAUUCAAAGACGGAUCGACGUAAAUACCUAAUUCUCAUAGCGUGUAACAAGUGCUUCCAUGUAUUCUUUGAAAACUGCUAGGUAGCAAAUUAUUAGUUGAAAGAAAACUCUAGAGUUUCAUUCUAGCCCCAUGCACCAGCAUGUAAUAGCACAAAUAAAGUCCCAACCUUUCCACAAUUAUUUUUCUAACAUAUCGCUUUUACUAGGAGGUUCACGAUUCAAAGAUGGAUCUAUGCAAAUACCAAAUUCUCCUAGCAUGUAACAAAUGCUUCCAUAUAUUCUUUGAAAACCGCUAGGUAGCAAAUUAUUAUUUGAAAGCAAACUCUAGAGUUUCAUUCUAGCCAGAAGCCAGCAUGUAAUAGCACAAAUAAAAUCCCAACCUUUUAUCAAUCAUUUUUCUAACACGUUGCUUUUACUAGGAAGUGUACAAUUAAAAGACGACUAAUCUCUGUAAAUACCUAAUUCUCGUGAUAUAUAACAAAGGCUUCCGUAUAUUAUUUCAAAAUUGAUGGCUAAUAGUAGAAAGAAAACUCUAGGGUUUCAUUCUAGCUAGAUGCACUAGUACGUAAUGGCACAAAUGAAGUGCCAAACUUUUCUCAAAUACUUUUCUAACCCAUUUUUUACCAGAAAGUUCACAAUUGAAAGACGGAUCUAUAUAAUACCUAAUUCUCAUGGUGUGUAGCAAAUAAAUUUUUACAUUCUUGAAAAAGUCUCAAGUAACGUAUUAGUUGUGGCCUCCACACUACAUUCGUAGUGAGAACAACCAUUAAGCACAUGCUUGCCACUCUCCCAUAGAUUUUCUUUAGUUAGGAUUUUAUUUUAUAAAUUUAGCCAAAUGAAAAUUUCUAUCUUUCCUUGUGCUUUUCUUUGGUACAAACCUUCUCUUGUACUUUUGACUUCAAGAAAGAAAAUGUAUAUGGUGCAUGUUGCCACAUUGUAGGAGAAAGUGAUAGCAUUGUUGAAUAAAACACAAUCCAUUCCUUACCUGCCUCCAUGUCUAUCCAUCCGGAUUCAAUAUUAACCGCACAAUGUCCUUAGUGUUUCAUGAUAAUGGAUGUAAGAAUCAAAUUUUAACACAUGAUGUUUAAGUGUCUGACUCAACUAGAGGAAAAGACAAUAUUGAAUUUGAAAAAAAUAUUUUAACUUAUAUAUUAUAUAAUACUAAUAGAAAAUGCUAAAAUAUAUUAUUUGUUAGGAUCUUUAUUAACAUGUUUUGGAACCUAUAGUUCUAGUUAGCUUAAAGAUUUAGAAAUAUGGCAUUAUGUAAUAUUAUCGUAAUAUAUAUAUUCUUGAUCAAUAUCUAAGAAGAACAAAGGAACUCUAAUAUUACUAUAAUAGAUCAAACUCAUUAUAGGAUUAAUUCAAUCUAUACCAAUUUUAAAAGCUAUAAAUUUAAAAAUAAUAAGUGGGGUGGUCCUGAGAUUGUGUUAUCCAUCAGACUGAGUUGCUCGUCUCCUUUGCAAUCAAAGAUAUGGUUGUACGUCCUUACUUGAAUAAGAUCUGCUCUAUAGGCUCGUACAACCAUAUCCUUGAUUGCAAAAGAGACGAGCAAAUCAGUUUGGUAAACGACUCCUAUUCAUAUAUGUAUUUGAUAUGGAUUUUGCGAACUAGAUGCUAGUGUGGUACUCAGAUAAUAUAGAUUGUUCAGCAAGUUGCACUACUCCAAAAUAUUCUGAAUCAGCUUCUUCAUUAAGUACAAGCCAAGUCAUGGGACCUAGCUUUGUUGCUAAUCCACUAUUUUUACUUAGUCCCUAAAUCAUCUAUUAGGCUUCAGAUAAUGUGAAAAGGCAAAGGAACGUGUGUCUCAAAGGAGUCCUAUAAGAACACAUCUUUCCAAAAACAAGUACAUCUCAAACUAAAAUUUUUAUGCCCUUCAAAAGGAUAGGGUGGACCGUAAGGACCCCUCUCUAAAAGGGUGAGAGAUUGAUUUUAGGAGAAGAAGAAAGCUCAUUUACAUUUAUCAUCCUCCAGUAAUUACCUAUAAUUAAUUAGCUCUAAGAAUGAUCCCUCCUAGUAUCAGUUUCCACCACCACUUCCUUGGCAUUACUUAGUUGAAACGUAUGUGAUUCUUAAUAUCGUGACCUCUUUUCUUCUUCUCUCUAUAGAUAUAGAUGUGACAAAAAUUAGCUUGACUUGAAAACCUAACCAAACCAGACCCUAUUGGAUCAUAUUUGGGUGAAGGUUUUAGUUAGGGUUAGGUAUGGGUCAUAUUUUCUGACUCAAACUUUAAAUGUGUUGGGCGUAGAUCAAAGUUUUCUUAUGCCUAGGUCAUGAGGUUAGAGUUUUAUUUAGGUUGAAAUGAUUUAGGUCUAGAUGUUAUGAUCUUGCAUAAAAAUUUUUGAGCGGUUGGUCUUUAUCUUACUACUAGUUAUUUAAAUCAUGUUAAAAAUUAGCCAAUAAAAAUUAUAAAAUAUUAGAUUUGGUAGAUUAGGUUAGGUUUUUUGGGGGUUGAGUCUUGCAAAAUAGAUUAGGUUAAGAUCAAAAUGAGUAACCUAAAAUAACAAAUCAAGUAUCGAACAAGAUUUUGUAAGUUGCCCUUACUUGAACUGACCCACCCCAACCUCUUGCCAUCCUGUAUCUCACCAUGCAAUGCUCUCCUCAUGUCUUGUCCUUUUCUUUUCACAGAAAGUUAAUAAUGAGAUGAGAGAGAUGAUAAUACCAUAAAGAAGUGUAUAUCUACCUCCAAUGAAUAGGGAAUUGCAUUUCCAAGUGAAACUAGAGUAUCCAUGGACUAGGCUCAAGAAGGAACCUCCAAGAGAAAUUAAUUCUCAUUUUUUUUUAUUAUUAAUAUACAUUAAUGGAUAGUUGGGCCUAUGGGUAUUCGUGAAAGUGUCCCUUGGAAUCUUGGGACAUCAUUAAUAGGACUUCUGGGCACUUAUGAAGUAUCCCUAAUAAAUUUUGAAUGGCCAGCUAGUGAUCGUUAUUAUGAAUAUUUUGGAAGUUAUCCAUCGUUAAUAUUUUAUAGGGUCAUGUCCUAUAAAUAUGUAAGGAGUUCUUGUUUUGUGCUUAUCCCUUUCAUGGAGGAUUCCAUAAAGAAGUGUGUGUUUGUCCAAUUGUACUUGUGUUACGUUCGCCUAUCUCAUUCAUUCCAUCCCAAUAUCGAGUUGGUAUCGGAGCAUUAGUUCUUGAUGAUGGAAUGUAAUCAUGGAUCAAAUGAAGAUAGCACUCUGAUUCAUGAACGUGACAUAUGGAAUGUCAUGAUUAAAGACUUGCAGAGACGUGCAACUUCUAGAAGAGCAACUUGCUCGAAACGAUGGUCUAAGACAUGGUGAAUCUCAUCAUGUCUCGGAGCAUGAUACCCCAAGCAACAAAGAAGAGGAACUUACUUGCUUUACAUCAUACUCGCCAUCGAGCAUCGAGUGAGGAGACUUCUCUCCAUUGUCAUCCUUGGAGGGACCAUAGAUUCUAAUCAGACUAUGGCAUUAAAGUUGAUAUCUUGAAAUUUGAAGGAAGUAUCCUACUGGAUGAAUUCGUAGAUUGGCUUCACAACAUGGAGCAAGUCUUUGAAUACAAAGAUGUGCCAGACCACUGCAAAGUGAAGCUUAUAGCCAUAAAAUUGAGAGAGCACGCUUUUAUUUGGUCGGAGCAACUCAAAAUUCGGCAGUAGCAUGAAGGCAAGCCUAGAGCCGGAUCUUGCGAGAAAUAAAAAGCAGUACUCAAAGAGAAAUUUUUACUGCUAAAGAACUAUUACAAGAUCCAAACCUUAAGGAUUCUUGCUUUGCACAAGAACGUAGCUCGGUGGAGGAGCACAGAGGAUGUUAAUCAUCUCGUGAUUUGGUGUGGUAUUUUUGAAUUGGAGGAGCAGAACAUGGCUCGUUAUCCGACAAGCGGUGUAUGAUGUUGUUCAUCUCCGACGAGUUCAUUGGACUUAUCAUGCUAUUUACAAGCUUGCAGUCAAAAGCGAAGAGACAAUUUGAAGAAAAGAAGUAAAUAGAGCACACCCAAUCGAGGGAGUGGUUCUCAAUCUUCUGAUGUUUGAAGCUAGUCUUCUAAGCAUGAUGGUGCAACUCCUUCUAACCUUUUUAUGUCUUCCAACUCCGACCAUAGGUGAGGCUACAAAUGCCAAGACAUUGGACAUAUAGCCUCAAAAUUUUCAAAUAGAAAGGUUGCCACAUCUUGGAGGAAUGCUUGAAGAAAAUGUGGAGAAUUUCCUACCCAUGAUGAGGAUCGGGAGAGGAAGAAGAUAUCACCUGUGGAGAUGAGGAGGCUUUUGUCAUCCGAAAAAGCUUGAAUCCCUCCUAUAUUGUGAAAAACCAUUCUCAUAACUUUCAUGACUGGAGAAGAGAGAUGAGGUGCAAGUUAAUGUUUGUUGGAGGUAGAUGUACUCUUGGUCCAUAGUAUUAUCAUGUCUCCUCUCCCAUUAUCAACAUUCUAUGGAAAGGAAAGGAGAUCUGAGGGGAGCACUGCUUGGUGAGAUAUGGGGUUAGCAAUGAAUUGAGUUGGCUGGUUAGGUAGGGAUAACACCCUACAAAACCUUUGACUGAUACCUGAACUGACCUAACAUCAGGCUAAGAAUUCUCGACUCAUACCCACCCAAUUAUCAUUUUAGCUCACCCUUUUUGAACCUAAUCUAAUAUAAUUUGCAAUGCCAAAGGAAAUACAUACGAGAAACCUCUGGGAACCAGACUGAUAAAAGAUAUAGAGAUGAAAUUUUGAAUAGAAAAUAAAUCAUCCAAAUUCUUUAGAAGUCUUCACUGCUUUAAUAUCAUGUCUCAAUAUGGCCUAACUCCAAGCAUUCCAUUUCGGUAUUAAUAAACCUGCCGCUAGCUAAGCUAAUAUUUGGCACGAGCAUCACUACGCGCAUUUCAUCCAAGCGAAUGAAACAUUCCAUGAAUGGUUGUGAUAUUAGUAAUCAAUUUAUCUGGAGUACGUUUGACAUGUAUUCUUGGAAAUUAAUAUGAUGUGCUUCUUUAUCUCUGUUACUUGGAGGGAUGUAACGAGAAGUGUAUGUAUGAGAGAGGAGGGGAGGGGUACUGAAUGAAAUACUAUUAUGGAGAUGACUCCUGAGUAUUUGCAUUAUAUGGAGAUGACUGGAAAACAAUUUUUUUAAGUAGAGCAUACGCUUUUGUGUUAUUACAAUGAUUCACAGCUUCAGUCGUCCAAAACGGUUUCGACAGGUGGGUCACAGGUUCAGCCAUUCAACCAUGAAUCAGUUGCGAUUGGGAUGGAGAUGGAUCUCCAUCUCCCUCCGCAUUUGCGGUACACUAGGUGUAGUUAUCUCAGGCUAGGCUUUGUAACUAGAUCACUAGUUCCCCGUAUUCCAAGACACUAGCCACAAGUAUAGCAUUCCAACUGAUCAAAAUCCAAAUUAAACUAUGUGCAGAAGAAUGCACGAGUACUAGUAAUGAAGAGUUGCAGUGCUUGUUAAGACAUCACAUUUAAUGCCAGCCAAUAAAUCAACAGAUUAGGCUCAUCAUUGUGAGCAUAUCAACAACUUUGUGAAAUAGUAGUUUUAAAAUAAAUGAAAAGCAGAGAUUUCCAGCAUAUACCAGCUCUUCGUGCAAAUGAUAAAAACAAAACUGACCUUUCCAUACUUAUGAUGAAAGAGUGGAUAUACAGGGAUAAACGAAAGCAUUCAUCACUUUACAUGGAAUAGACGAACAGAAAUGGUAUAUAGACGAACAGAAAUGGUAUAGAAUUGGUAAUAUAAAGACCUAUAUUACUGAACUGCUAGACGUUGGAGAUGAUCCAAGAAGACCUGAAAGCUAACAUCAUCCGUGAAUAUGACAUCUCCACCAGGUGCUGGAGGAUUAUCGGAGUUGUAUGUGACUGAAGGGUUCAAUUUCGCCAAGAGGAAACGGGCCUGCACCAUUCACAAGCAAAUUGAUGUAAUCAGUUAAAGAUCCAGGAACCUUUCAGCUUUGCUGAGGUUUCCCAGCAACUAAUUAGGUUAAGCAGAGUUGAUUAAAUCUGAAUGCUCGGCUGGUCCAGAGCAGUAUUAUUUAAGCCAGUUUCCCCUUGAAAUGCAACAAAUUUAUUGACAGCCCGAAUUAUUAUCUUGCUUGAAAGAAUAACAUAACAUCAACAAGAAGCACAAGAACCAAAACUACCAGUAAAAUUGAUACAACCAAUUACUGAAUUUAAAAGGCCACAAGUGCAGAAAGCAUAUACAAGCAGAAAGCACAUACGACAUACAUCAAAUUCAGAGGCUUUUGUCUAGGGAACAGAGAGCACAUAAGGGAUAUGAUGAAGCCACGACCAGCUAAGUGACAAAUCCUUAAUGCUCAAACUGUGGAAACUAAACAAACAUUACUUAUAUGUUCCUUGCCAGAAUAUGCCACCAUUUUUUCGCUUGAAAUCAACAUUGAUUAGCAAGGCCCAGUUGUGUAUCAGCAUUCAUAUGAACUAUCAAAAGUUUCAAAAGCUAGAAGCAUGAUGCACACACUGUCUAGAGAUAGCUCAAGCAUCUCAAACCAAAACUUUCCCAAGCUGAACCAUCGGUUAGAACGUUUCACCACUACAUCACGAGACAGUUAUAAAGCCUACUUUUCCUCGGAUAAAUUGGCAAACAGAUUGAUCCCACAGUUAAUUUCCCAUAGUUUAACUGGUUAACAGUUUUUACACCAACAGCUGGUAGCUUAGCUGGCUGGCACCUACCUCUCCAAGCGAGAGGCCUCAGGUUAAAACCUGCAUGGUAGUGAAUAACCACCAUGUUCUCAAAAAGAAAAAACUAGCUAAAGGUCCUUUCAAGCUGCCUAAGCACUUAGCUGCGAAAAUAUUUGAAGCUGUUUAUCAAAGAUAUUGAAGAAAAUGGGGUAAUACUUCAAUCAGAUGUCUGCAUGGCACCUUAAGAAAUAUCGAGAAGCGCAAGGCAUAUUGGAACAGCAUUAACUGUCAACUCUUUCAUUUUUCCUUUUUUUUGGCUGGUGGGAAGUUAGGACACAACUUGUAUUGGUUGCUGCCACUUGGUUAGCAGCAUCAGUGACAAUUCUUUUAAUAUCUGAUCUACAUGUGGAAUCCACGCUACAUACUAGCUGGCAGCAAGGCAUCCUUUUCACAAUGAGUUAUUUUUACCUCUAUAUAUAAUCUUCAUCUGGCACUUCCUAUAUCGAGCAUGCUAUGUAAUUACAAGUUUACAACCAUUCACUUUUGCAGUUUACUUACCUUAAAAGAAAAGAUUAAUCAGGCUCUUUUGUCAAAGAUACAUUAGAAGAUAAGCACAUGAACAACCAAGAUAAGUAGCACGUUAUUGUAUCGUAGAAGAGGUCAAAUUGGAUGAGAUCACAAGUCGUAAGAUUCUUUCAUAUUUCUAUCAAACAGAAGUAAUAGGGCAAAACAACAUGAAAGGCAUAAUUAAAUUAUGGUUUGAACCAAUAAUAAGUUAUCAUCACUAGACAUAAAAAUUUCACUUUCUGACAACCAUGAGCUCAUAAAUAUCACGUCCAAGAAUUCAACAGUAUACUUGAUAAAAUACUUUUUCACCAUAUAAGUCAAUAAGAUAUCUCAAUUUGAGCUAUUUGAACCAGAAAGAAAUGUGGACAUAGGGUUAUUGAACUUGAGGUUAGAAAAAACCAAUUUUUUUCAAAAUGAUAGAUAACUUUAGAUCUUAGCCCCAAUAAGACUAAUCUAUUUUUCUCUUAAAAGUUGAAAUUUCUAUAAAAUAUUAUUGUUUGAAUAUUUUGGAAGCUUAUCAAUGAUCAAGGUCAUUCUACAAGUCAAAAGAAUCAGGUAAUUUUAAACGAUAUAUAACAGCUUUAGUUUGUAAAAGUAUGACCUGGCUUUCAAUCUUACAAUCCAUACUAAUCCUGAUCCAGGGAUCUGAUCCAGAUCACCAAGGGCCAUUUUGAUCCGAAUCAUACAGUCCUGGUCAUGGAUUGUAAGAUCCUAACAAUGAUGCAUGGAUAUUUCUAUCAUCAGUACCAUGUCUUUAAAUGCCAGUCAAAUGAAACUGAAAAGAAAGGGGCAAAAAAAUUAUACAGUAAUACUUCAAAAUCCCUAUAGUCCGCGAUUGCAGACAACCAAAUUAUAAUUAGCUCUAUGUUAUUAAUGAAUCCUAAUCGCAUGACUAAAUCAAUGAAAGAUAUAGGUCAAAAAUGAUAUAGUUUUACCACGUAUAUGUUACUAACAAAAGACAAACUGUACAAUUAUAAUGAUUGAUGUCUGAGGAACUUAAUGAAAAGUGACCUGGGAGCCGUAUUGGUCGCAUAUGACCAAACGAGGAACAGGAAACCGCUCUUUGGCUAUUGCAUCAGCAUCAUCGCGUGGGGCUUGCAACAAUUGAGCAAAUGGCUGCAAGAAACAUAGCAGUUAUGUUUAAAGUUUGAGUAAACCUGCAGCAGCAGCAUUCUUGAGGCAAAUAGACCACAGAAAUUUGCAGACUAGUUCAUGGAUGCAAAAGCAUUAACAAACCAGCCAAGUCAACAAUAUUUCAGAAGUAUGCAUUUGUCCAAAUUAUUACUAAAUUAUACAACUGGGAAGCAUAGACCAAUAUAACUAAGGAAAGCAUGAUAUGACAUGGAAAAAAAAACACAAGGUGCAGAUUUUCAUUUGACUGUUACAUUCUACACAGGUCAGAACACUCUUAACAUCCCAAACAAGAGAGGCUUUAAUUACUAGUGCAAUUUAAUCAUCCCAUAGCAUUGUAGCAUUAGAACUCAUUUUGCUACCUAACUUGAAUAAUAGAUGCAAUAUUGUAUGCAAAAUAGGAAAGACUUCAUUGGAUUUUCUAAAUUUUUCAGGUAUAAAUUUUGUAGCCUUCCUGUUCUCAUCAUAGGCUUCCAGACUUAUAGAUUUAACUGCACAGGUAGCUUCAAUUUCCAAAACCAUCACCUACAAUAAUAUAACCAAGCAGAUAGAUGGAUUAAGCAGUUUAUUACAAGUUUCCAAGACCAAAAUUGGCUCUUUUGUGAUCAAAUAGUUGAAUAUAAACAGUUGCCCGGAAGACAACAUUGAUGACAAUCUGCUCCAUAACCUAUCCAAUGAUUUCAGCAGGUCGGAUCGGUAAUCAUAAGAAAUAAUUGGCAACCAAAAUUACCGCUAUGAUAUGGGACAACUAAUAGGAGAAAACCAGCACCAACUCCACCUGAGUCGAGAAGCAUAAAGAAGAUUCCAACUUACAAGUCACUAAACGGGAAUGUGAACCCUAGUGCACUCAUUUAGGUUUUAAAGCUAACAAGGCAUGUUUGGGAAAAAAAGUGGAAAACUAACUAGAGGUGAAUCAAAUGCUAGAAACUUGUAUCUCCUGAAAGGUGUAUCCACUGGUUCAUCCUUCAACUCCAAAUCACCUAUAAAAGUGUUAUUUCUUCCUGAUACCAUUAUUUGUACAUUUUCAUGAAAAACCACACCAGAUACUUCGCCGCUACCUCCCCUUAUGAAGCCGAUGUUAGACAACUCGUAGGAGAUACAUGACUACAUUCUCUCUGUCCAAACAGACAUUCUCCUCUCCUUUUUUUCAAAAUUCAAACAAACGCAAGUAGUUCCUUUACCCCAUCACAACAUAGUUCUGAGAUGUAGAGAUCUCAUCUAGGAACAGCAUCAGUCAGUAGCCAGUUUAUGACCAAUAUACUGGGAGUUACUUCCUAAACAAUCCUUUUUUCAUGAAGAUGGACUAAAUGUUAAGCUGUUUGUUGAAAUAAUAGUCAUAGCAUAAGGCCCAACUUCUAACACUAUUUUGAUUAUGUUCACUUACUCCAGCAGUUGAUAGACAGCCUUGAUUUGCAGGCAAUCUUCAAUAGUCUGUUCUUCACAGUUUCAACAAAAUGGAUCAUAUUUGGUAGGUCCAAUUUAACAGACUAAAAUAGAAUAAAAAUGAUGUCAUAGAAGAACAAGCGAAAAGCUCCUAAACAAUAAGAGAUUGUCUGAAUGUCGGAACAGCAUAUCCAAGUUACGUCUUCACAGGUAUAGAAUGGGCUGCAGAGAGGAGGUAGGAGGAUGGUGAACUUCGAGGAAUUGGGAGGAUGCCAUGAUUGGGCAAUCAUAAGAUUUUUGGGAUGCCAGAAUUCACAAAUCUAAAGUGAUUUCCAGUACUACUGAUACAUAUAGGGCCUGAGUUAUGGGCCUGAGUUAUUGGCAUACCCUAAUCAUUACCAAUUGUUAUCUUCUUAAGCCAUCUCCCAGCAACUCCCACCAUUCUCUGAGGUAUCACAUAAUAAGCAAAGGGGAGCCAGGAAUCCAAACAAGGCCUAGAAGCUGGACCAGUUCAUUACUUCAUACUAACAAAGAAGUGAGAUAGAUGUAGGGCCUGUUUGAAUGCCAGAGUCGGCCAUCCUGAAUUAAGAUCAGCCUGAGACCCCCACAUUUAAGGAUUCUUGGGUGGAAGAUGACCGCACUGAAAAGGUUACACGAGCAAUUGGUGGCCAAUGGAGGUAAUCCAUUCCGUUGAGAAGGUAUUUUAUCUUAUCCCUACAUUUUAGGGAUAAUGAACUCAAUGAAAUCAGUGAUCUUAAAAAUCUUCUUAACCCAUCACCUCUUUCUCAGAGCUUUCCCACAGAGCAUACGCAAUUGCCGGAUAAUAGAAUCGGCAUCCAAACAGGCCCGUAUUAUGUAGUAUACAGGACAUAGAUGAAAAAAUCAAGUGGAACUUAAGCUUUACACCAUUAAUAAAGAUACAGAAGUAAGAGCCAAAGCAACUGCUAGUUGGCACCAGAAGGAAUAUAUGAUGCAUUAAACAAAAGAGAGAGAGGACCUAAAAGUAUAUUAUCGAACAUAAUUUUUUAACCUAAAUAACAAAGACAUUGCAGUUAUCACUAAACUUGCUAGCAUAUAGUCAAGAAUCAGACAACUGACACUUUAGCCUGUAGUCUGUACACCCCAGCUUGGCAUAUUCACUAAAUUCUGGAUAGAUCAAACUAUACGAAGGACUACUUCUAAAUGCAGCCUUUACAAUAAUCUGCAUCAUAAUUACAGUUAACGAACAUACAUGGUGCAAAUUGUUAUCUUGCAAAUAGGUGUCUUGCAUCCAGGUCCAAACAUAAUAUAAUGAUUAAUAAAACACAGGAUUCAAACUUCUAAAAUUAUAAAGAUAAUGGAAUUGUAAUUCAAAGGAUGUAUUAUCUGUAAAAUCACAUUGCUGCAAAGAUCACCUGAUGUUCAGCUUGAUUUUGGUAUCCAGCAUUCCGCCACUGGGCAAUGCUUGCUCCAUGAAAUACAACAACAAUAAAGUAGGAAUCCAAUAGAAGGAUCCUAUCAGCAGCAAUUGCAGUUACAUCAAGGAGAGCAGGCUCAGGGUCUGACUGGAACGAGUAAGAUAUCAGUGAAGGCUGGAUCAUCACAACUGAAUUGGCUACAUUCUCUCUAUUGAGGAUCAUUCUGUAAUAUGCAGUUUCAUCCGGACUGUUAUUAAAAACCUGCAUGAGAAGUGUCAGUGGAGUAAAAAAGACUAGCUAAAAAGUAAAUAAAGAUUCUAAAUAAGUUUGAAAACAUCAUCAAGUCAUGUAAUCAUGUCAAAACAAAAAUCAAAAAAAGGUAAUGUCAUACCUGGACAAACUGAGAACGCCUUAAAUGAAACAUAAACUGCGGAAAUAUUGAUAAACGUGGGGAUAGGCUAAACGAGGAUGGACUAUCCUUCUGAUAAUCUCCAAACUUCGAACAUAAACGAAUUAAUGAUCGAUCAAGCCAUCUUAUUGGGUCAAAAUCAGCCUGCAAUAGUAAUUAGGAAUUAUGGCCUCAUUAUGUAGAGAUGGCAUUAUACCAGGCACAAGAAAAAAAUUAAAGUUUCCUUGUUUCUCAUCUAGAAGACUACUUGGUAUGGUACCUGUAGUAUCAUCUACAAGCAGUGCAGUUAUUGACACAAGCAGUUUAGUCUGAACUAACAUUUUCUACUGUUAUUCUUUAGUGGCAUCAUUGGAUUCCAAACUUCCAAUUAUGAAGGCCUCGAUCCCCCCCCCCCCCCCCGNGAGAGAGAGAGAGAGGAAGGAANNNNNNNNNNGUAUCUUUCUCACUUUAUUGGUUAUGAUUAUGAGCCCUUGUUUACGAAUUUGCUAACAUAAAUACCAAAAUUAUCAAUCAGACAAUUUGAUUGGACCGAAAUUAAGAAUAAGUGAGAAAUGCAUCAAGAAGAUAACCAUCGUCAUUUUGCUUUAGUCGAAAAGGAUACUCUAUCUGACAUCUUGUAAAAGAGUUAUAUGCAAGAUUCGCCAAAUCGGUACAGGAGGCAUGGUACCGAAGGCCGUACCGGGUGUACUGACAAAAGGAGAGCCGAAGAAGGAGGAGGAGAGGGAGAAAAACAGAAGAAAGGAGGGAGAGAAAGGGAGAGGGAAGAGAAGAGAGAGAGGGUGAAGUUGGCAAACUGUUUGCCAAUUUCGAUCCAAAAUCGGCAAAAUAAGAAAAAGGGAACCUCUGUUUCAAAACAGGGGAUCCCUAUUUCGAUUAGGGCUUUCGAGCCCUCCCUCCCUCUCUCUCGGCCUCUCUCUCCCGAUCCCUCCCUCCCUUCCUCUCCCUCUCCCUCUCCCUCUCCCUCUCUCUUUUCCUCUCUCUCCUUCUCCCUCUACCUCCACUUCGAACGGAGGUAAUGAAUCGUGCAAUAACCAACAGCUCCAGUUUGGUACUCCCCGAAUCAGCUGGUUUGACAUGGUUUAGCAAACCUUGGUUACUUGUAAUCAAUGUUUGUAGUUUUGGUAUCGGAUUGCAUACUUGUGGCUGAUUGGCACAGUACCGGUACCGGUACCAUACUCCACUCUACCGAUCUAUACCGAGCUGAACCAUCCUCGAUUAUUGAGAGGCAAGGAUUAAUUGGCGUGAACAAGGCACUUAAAAGCUGAACUACCCGGAAUCGCUCAGUUCCAAGCGGUUCAGCCUGGUAAGAACCGAAACUAAACAGUUUGGGCCUCCUUUUGUACCAAGACCACGAACCAUCCUGGUUUGUGGUCAAUAUGGUACAAUACCGACCGAAUCAGGCGGUUCGGUCUAAUAUUGUAUACAAUGUAUAUACUAGCAGCAAGGAACAUAGGCUACUUGUAUAAUUAUUAUAAUUAGGAAAGCAUCUGUUUUCACUUCUGUCCUUCAAUGAAAUUUUCAAAACUCUCUCUCUUAAGAAAUAAAUAUAGUUUUGGAUUGGACAUGGAGUAAUUUGGGCAUACUUUUUUGUUCCUAUAAUUUACAUAUUAACAGAUCUCACUCAUGAAUAAGACCGGGUUAAUGUUGUCAAUGAGUUAGAUAAGUCACGGGGACACAACAUCAAACCUCCAAACUACUGAUGGAGCUGCCAAAUAAAAAAAGUUGAGAAUUUUAAUGGUUUGAAAGCCCAUGCAAUUUGUGCAUAAGAUCAUUGUGCCUCCUUGAUGAACCCUUUAAAUCUUUCAUGAUGGAAAUUCUGAAUUUAUAGUUUCAGAAACAACGUCAAAUUUUUCAGUUUCAUCUUCUCUCAUCAUCAAAUUUUAAUGGUUUUGAAAGCCCAUGCAAUUUUUGCAUAAUAUUAGUGCACCACCUUGGUGCACUAUUGAAAUAUUUUCAAGAAGGAAAUUCUGCAUUUUACAGCUUUAGGAUCCGCAUCAAAUUUUCAAUUUCUUCUCUUCUCAAUUUCUCAUCAUCGAAUGUCUCAACAUCUCCAAUAAACUGACUGAUCUGAUAUUUCCCAAAAGUUUAGCAUUCUCUAAUUAAAAGCUGAAAACCUUGUUUAGCACUUGUUAUUGUAUUUGUGUAAUAAAUUAUGCUUUAUGACAAACAUCUUUUGUUCAUCCUCCUGGUUUGCAGGACUGCUAGCAAUCCCAAUCAUUAUUACACAAAAUCUAAUAUACACAGAGCAUGGACAAUUUCGUUUAGUUCUUUUAAUUGUUCAAUGGAAAUGGAAAUAUCAUCUCAUUUUCAUUAGUCAAAUCAUUAAAAUCCUGCAUGCCUCAGGAGUUGCCUCCAUCCAACCUCACACCCUUCCCACACAAAAUUUGGUAUACAUUAAGAAUCUAACACAUCUUCCAAAUUUUACUUCCCAGUUUUAUCACUCAUCAAGUUUUCAAGAUUUCUUCCAUACGGAUUGGGUGAGGCACUGACGGUUGCAACUCAUCGGGGCACCAAAAAUUUGUUACACUGUGCUUAAGAUUAUGAAGCUUUUUCCUAUUAAAGGAUAGGAGGAAUGCCAUAUUCGGACUUGUAAUUAGAACCUAGCUCAACCUUUGAACAAAGUCAAACAACUUUUUAAGUGCAAUAUAGGUCCUUGUUAUCGAAGAACCAGCCUUAUGGAUAUCAUGGAUCCACAGAUGCAAAAUCCUGACUAAACCUCAUAACAAAUGGUGUAAAUGAGUAGGUUCUCAGAAAAAAAAAAUUGGAUCUGAAUUUUACCAAACUUGGCAACAUCUCAUGCCAAAACCAGACCUGACCCCAUGCAUAUGAACCACUAUUCUUGGUCAUACUAAUAAUUUUAUUAAUAAAUAUGCACAUUACCUUAAAAGCACCUAAGAACAGAUUGAAAAUUCUAAUAUUAUAUCCUGAAAACAAAAGGUUAUUAUAUUUUUAAAUAAAUCCCCUGAUCAUUUCCACCCUAUGCGACCUUGUUAACCAAAAUCAAACAACCUCCAAAACACUAAGAAAAUCUCAAGAUGAACAAUAUGCAGUCAAAGGAAUUGAUAGACAGUUCACCCUCUCGUUUCUCCAUUCUUUCUUUUCUCUUUUCUGCAACAUACCAUCUGUAAAUAACAUCAUUCUUCCUAAAUGAAAAUCCUUCAAGUUAUCCUCAUUUGCAUAAAUUGCCCACUUUUGACAAUCCGGAUAGCAACGAACAGUAACAUUUUUUUUUCUAGCAAAAUGCAUUUGAAGAAGCAGGGUCAAUUUCUUUUUAUGACCAAAGAAACUAUCAAGACUGCAAGGUAAGGGCUAAAAGUGUUGUGUUAGGACCUGACUUUAUUGAAUGGAGAUAAUGAUCAAGAAUUUUUACACCAGAUGCUUAUAAAUAUUAAAGAAAUUAUACAGUGGUGUAUCCUAGAUUCCUGAGUUUGACACAUCACUCUCAAGAUUCCACAAAAUAUUAUGCAAAAAUACAUAACACUAUUGAUAGGCAAAAUAAUCAAAGGCCUAAUAAGCAUACGUCCCAUGGAAGGCAUUACGUAGGGAACAAUGUGCGAGUUUCUACAGAAUUUUCUCAACGUGAUGCAUAGAUGUAACUUUAUGUGAUGCAUAGAUGUAACUUUAUAUAACAUUGUCUAUUAACCUUGAGUUGUUUUAUUGGAAAGCCUUACCUUAAGGCAACAUACAGGGUAAACAUUGAAAAGCUUUGGGCAACACAUCUCUUUUUUGCAUUUUUUUCCCUUAUCUAUUCCUAAGAGCCCUUUAAACCCACUAUCAUCCACUCUCAAAGGUCUCUUCUCCCAACUACUCUAUGUAUCUAUUUCCAGUCAUCAUCAUCUUAUUUCAUCUCCAUUCACAAUUCCCAUGACCCAAUCCCGAAAAACUAAAGGGAAAAGAAAAAAGGUCAUGGACAAGAUUCGUCAUCUCGGUACCGAACCCUGUAUCGGUAUCAUUCUACUAUAGUGUUGGUAUGCAGUAUGAUACGGUAAGAUUCAGCAUAUCGAGUGUUGGUACAGUACAGUACCAUAUAUCGGUUCGGUACCGGUAUGGUGCAGUAAUGCUCGGAAUUGUACCGUACCAACCGGUACGGAAAACUCAAUCAUGGCGAUAUUGAGGAUAAAGAUGAGGAUAAUUAGUGGAAAGCAUCAAAUCUGAAGACCUGGAAGGUGAGCAUAAUUUCUCUUCAUUCUUUUUUAGUUUAGUACUUCUAAAAUCUUUGAAUCAGAUGUCAAUCAUUGUUGACAAUACUCUCCUUUCCCACAAACUCAUGAGAAGGUUAAACAAAUGAAAAGGUCCCAAACAGAUUAGUCAAGGCACACUGGCAUGCAACCACCCACAUGUCAGCCCAAUAAAACUUUCCGAAAUGACCAAAUGAGUGAAGAUAUAAUCAAGGUCGGCGAAAUCGUCCUGAACCGGGCGGUUCAGUUCGUUCCGAGUCGUACCGGUGGCUCACCAGUACGGUUCCGGCAACGAAAACGAGACGCGUUGCCAGAACCGGAGAAGGAGAAGGAAAAGGAAAGAGAGAGCGAAUGGGGGAGGGAGGGAGAAGGAGAGGUGGCAGAUGUCGGCAGAGGGCCACCGGGCGGGGGGGGGGGGGGGGGGGGUGGAGGCUGUGGCUGCUUGCCGAUUUUACUUAAAAAUUCCGAAAAUUUUUAACCACUUGCCAACUUCACUUACAAAUGAUGCUUAACCUAAUUAAACCAUUUCCUAAAAGUUAAAACUUUUGGUUGACUGAUUCCUACACUACUUCAGAUAUAUUUGUGUGCCAUACCCUAGAUGUCUCAAAAGCUUUGCACACUCCAUUACAUUCCACAUCCAAACUUUUGUGAUAUUUCCAGCUUGUAAAACUAGGUAUAGCUUUGACAACAUUGCUCAAAAGAUUACCAUCUGGGGUUGGGGACAGGGAACAAAGCUAUCCAUGCCACCAUCAAAAUAUUUUGAAAAACAACAGAUAUUUUAGUCUUUUAAGGUUUAACCUUUGUAAAAUUCAAAGAAAAAGGUGUGAGAGAGAGAGAAGAAAAGAAAAAUAAAAAACACUGAUUCAUAGAUAUGUCCAGUCUACUAUUUUGCCAAGCACUCUAUACUUCCUAUCAUUAUGUAGAAUUACAACUUGGUCCACUUCCCCACACAAAACAUUUUCCAAUAUUUUCUCAUGCUUCAUGCAUGCAACCAUGAGAUCUACAUUUUAACCUCUCUAUAUUACUAAAAGUCUAAAACAGAGACGAGAAAUUAUAUUACUAAAAAGCCCUUUAAACUACAUUCCCAGAAACCCACCCAAAAAACAUCAACAGAUAAAAUAGCAUAACAUACACUCAAAACACAUAUUAAGUUGAUUAUCUAAAUCGCAAUUACCAAAUCUGCUAUCUCCGAGGCUUUGAGGUCUCUGCCAGGGUAACAAGUUUUUAGAUCAUUUAGUAUGAAUAUAAAAAUCAGGUCUAUUAUAACUCUAUCCUUGUUAGAUCCUUCAGUACUCAUCGAGUCUUCCGCAAAAAUUCAGUCAACCUCUUGAUCUAACUUCAUCCACACUACUAAGUAAAUAUGAAAGAAUUUUUGCGAAUAACAUUCCAAAAUUCUCAUAGGCAUCUUGACACUAGCAACCCCAUGGCAAACACCAAUAUGGACAACAUGUGGAGUUGUUCAUCUAUGCAUGCCUCAGCCACCUUCAUACUCAAAAUUAAAAUAUCAAUCCAACUGACAGAACAUCCUUGAACUAAAGCGCCUAUUAGAAUUUUUCUGGAUGAACUUAAUAAAGAAGAUUAAGUAAAAGUUAUCUGGAAGAUUUCAGUAAUAGAACUAUAAAAACUACUAUGAGAAUAAUUAUAACAAGAAAUUAGUCUGUUAAAUUUCGCUUUUUUCCUAGAACAGAAAUGAAAAAGGAGAGUUCAACUGGUAAUUAUCUCUACAUGCAGUUAAUUCAUGAAUAACAAAGUACCUCCAUUUCCAUUUUAAAAGAAACUAAGCGUGCCAUGACUGCAGCAGCUGCUUCUUGAUCAAACCCAGCUAUCAAAUCCUAUGAAAGUUGAAGUUAGUAAUCAGCAAGAUGCAUUUUGAUGUUCUACAUAUUCUGAUAAUUUAUGAAAGAAAAUCCUAAAUAAUGAAAAGGUACCAUAGACUAAACAAGGUGCCUUAAAUGUCUAUACAAAGUCUCAGAAGCAACCAUAUCCAAUUAAAGAACAUAUCCAAAGAUACAUCAUACUAUAGAACAUAAUGGACUGAAAGAAAAUAAUAACAAAUUACAUAAAUAUCAAGAAAUGUCUCUUCUUUACCUCAAUGGCCAACUUUUCCCCUGAACUGAAAGUUAAGCAAGCUCAAGUUUUCAAUUAGUAAGGCAAAAACAAGCUGAAGCAGUGCAAAUUGUUGAAAUUUACAUACCUAAUGUAUGCACAAGUAAAUGGGAUAUGAUGGAGCUAAUUGUUCGUGAUUACAGUCUUUUUUAUUUAUGUUUUUGCCGUAAUAUGCCAGUAUUUACCGUAUCUCUUGCUUACAGGCCAUAUUUUAUAUGCUUCAUAUGUUAUUGUGCCAUUGAUUGAGUCCAGAUAAAUCCAAAGCUGUAAAAUGUUUAACCAGAUACUCAUAAGGGGUAUAUUUGUCCCUUUUCCUCAACCAGUGACCAGAACAUGUAUUUAACAAAUAAAAUGUUGCACGAACUGAAGAUCAGCUCAUGCAGCAUCCUAUCCGUCUGCAGUCUCUUUCACAUCUCUUCUUCUCUGUCUUCUUCCUCUCUCGCACAUUCCUUCCUCUGUUUCUCCUAUCACUUGUUCCUCUUCUUUCAAUCCUAUUAAUCUUGCUCAUAUCAACCAUACUAUCCAAGUGAUCAUGCAAUACUGAUGGCCUAUAUCCUUGUUAAUUAAACCAAGUAUAAACAAUUUUUAACAUCUAUGACUUCAUCAUAGAAAUAUUAACAGAUUAUUGCCUUCCACUUACUUCUACUUGCUACUAAUUCUUCCCUUCUCCUAUGGAUAAGUUUUGGAACUGACAACUGAUCAUAUCUGAGAUACUUCUAUGAAACCAUUCAGACAUCCAAAAACGACCCCUCCAUCCUUCCACUGAAUAUACACCACACCAACUCUAGUGCUUAAUGUGUCCUCUUUGUCUAUACUUCAGAUCUUCCACACAGAUCUAUUCUUCAGAUAUUCACACAAGUAUGUUCCAAUCUAUAUAACUCAGACAUCAAAAAUUCCUAUUCCAACAAAUCACAACUCCCCAACUCUUAACAUGAACCUCAAUAUUCUUAAUUUCAUUUAACACUAGAAAACACUGAAACAUAGGUGUUCUUUUAGAAGACAUGAAGAGGAUGAAGAGCAUAACUGUCUUUCCAACUAACCAAAGAAGAUGGACAACUAUUUGGAUGGAACUUAUUUGAUGAUGAAAUAGCUGAAGGGACAGAGGUUGGUGGGAGUAAGUGUAUUUCUCCCUUUAAGCAAAAUGGAAAUAGAAAAGAAGAACCAUUUACUUAAGACAUUACAUGUACAGGUAACACUCAUUUGAAUUCAACAAAAAUACUCAAAAAAUCCAAUUCCUCAAGAAUAAAAAGUAGAUGUCCCAAAUUUAUUUCAAAACCUCGAUUUUUGGCUCUGAGUCAAUUUUUCGACUUCCAAAUACCAAGGUAUUUCUCAAAUCCUAAAGUUUCAUAAUUUCUAUUAUACCUAAGCAUUACUACAGAACAAAAGCCCAGUUAUAAAAGUCUUACAAAUUAGUCUCCUAAGUCUGUCAUACAAAAUGAUGCUUAACAGCACAUGGCAUUUCCACAGACUGGUUCAUUUUCAGAUUUCUUUUUUUCAUUCACAUACAUGUGAAUUUUUAAAAAUAUAAGUUUGGUUAUUACAUGACAAAUCAACAAAACCAGCAUAUAAGAUGCCUGCAGAAUUGGGAAAAUCUGGAAUGCUAUAGAUAGAAAACUCAUGAUUAAGGAUUUAAAGGUCAGCAUGGUAUUGAAGCGGAAAUUAUUUAAUAUUAUAUUAUUGAACCAAAUCAUAAUGGCCUGUAGCAUGAUACACUGGUCUGUACAACCGUAGGGUGCAGGUUAGUGCAUGCACAGUACAGCAGGAAAGCACAGACAGAUAGUAAGCUUGGCUCUUAAAAUGGACCACUGGUAUGUGACCAGCAUGGCAACCAUUGUAUGGUGCAGUGCUGUUUUGGCCCAUGACCCUUGCAUGGGUAUGAUCCUAUGAUGCUAAAGACACUAGCCCGGGCUCUGAAACAAGAUCCGAGAACAGAGAAUACAUGUGGAUGAAAUAACGAGUUUGCAUCUCAUUAAAUUCCAAUUAGCAAAUCUACUGGAAAGCAGUCACCUAAGAAAGAGCAGAAAAUGCAGCACCUAAAUCAAGGUAAUCAAAGAUAUGCCUCCUGGACAGUCCAUCAUGCUUGAUAAUAAGGAACAAGAUCAAGCAUUACGCCAGAAUAAUAAUUGAAGUCUACAACAUGCAACUACCAAAUAGGUAAAACACAGGCAAAAAAUUUUAUAAUUUGUGUAGCUAUGACAAUUAAUCAAAAUAGGUAAAUGC